rnacentral:lncRNA from 1 species
AGGACCUCCAAGUCCAGAAGUUAAACAGUGGCAGGACUUCCCUGACCUGACAGACAAGGUGACACUUGGAGGUCCUUCAGUGAAGUGCUGCUGGAUUCAGUGAUGUCAUUUGAUCAUCAGUGGUGAUCCCAAACUGUAGCAGGGGAAAGACAUAUUCUUGAGGUGCUAUUUGGUUAGUCUUCAGCCAACACAGCUUGCCCUGAUCUCUGAAAAUCAAAUCUCUAUAACGUGUUUUCAGAAUCAGCUCCCAAGACUGGAGCAUACUGGAAAAUACCGUGUUUGCUACACGUGAUCCUGAGCCAAAAGUUCUCAUUUGCAUUGUUGCAGAGCCCUGUGUCACGAUCAGUGGAGACUCUGUGGCGCAGGUGUGCCCUGUGCACUGAGAGGUGCUAAAACCUAUUCGCAUCUUGGAAGUUUCCACAGGAAAUAAAUAUAUAUGCCUGGGAAGGAAGGUGCUUUCAUACAAAAAAGCAUGAAGAACUCCAUCAGCUUACAAAUGCUCUCAGAAAGCAGUGAGAUGGUUUGAAACAAAACAAAGCUCUGAAUGAGAUGAAAGAUAAUGCGCUAGUGUCUGCAAGUCCCUCUAUAAAAUGCUUUUAACUUAUUAACCCUUCAGUUAACUUUUCAUUACUUGGAGACAGCAAAUGAUGGCAAUGUCACUAGGCUCUUAUCUUGAAAUUCUUCGAAUUUACCAAGGUUAACAAUUAAGCCCUAUCCUUUGACUUAGUUAAACAUGUACCAAUUCCUCUUAUUUCUUCCAUAAAAAUCUCCAGAUGACUGGAGAAUGAAAAGAGAUUAAAAAAAUCUGAGAUGAAGUUAUGUCUAGCAAAGCAAUAUGUGUACGGUUGACCUUAACCUUGUAAACUCAGUCUUCGAUGAUCUUGGAAAGGAACUCCCSUAGACUUCCGCAGAGGCAGACGUAUCCACGCAGGAGCGCUGUAGGUCCUAGGGGCUUACGGAGAUGCGGGAAAUGCGCAGGAGCAUCGCAGCAGAGUGUCUGCUGCAAAGACUUCUCUCCCCGUGGUCUCCUCCGUCAUUCGUUCAUGCUGCGGUUUCGGUGACCGGUGGAUGAGGUAUGCUACAAAUACGUGCCGGGUUCUGACUGCUGAGGCCUUCUGUACUGUGUAGCCUGGGUGCGGGGACAGGGCUGCCAGGCAAUUGCACCCAUCUCGCCUGCACCCUCUGUGUGUGCAUUCAGCACCACUGCAAAUAGAUUAUAUCUGCCAGGAAGAAAGUGUAACUUCUGUCACAUUUAAAAGCAUUGC